rnacentral:rRNA from 2 species
ACUGCGAAUGGCUCAUUAUAUAAGUUAUCGUUUAUUUGAUAGUACCUUACUACUUGGAUAACCGUGGUAAUUCUAGAGCUAAUACAUGCUAAAAAUCCCGACUUCGGAAGGGAUGUAUUUAUUAGAUUAAAAACCAAUGCCCCUCGGGGCUCUCUGGUGAUUCAUAAUAACUUCUCGAAUCGCACGGCCUUGCGCCGGCGAUGGUUCAUUCAAAUUUCUUCCCUAUCAACUUUCGAUGUUUGGGUAGUGGCCAAACAUGGUUGCAACGGGUAACGGAGGGUUAGGGCUCGACCCCGGAGAAGGAGCCUGAGAAACGGCUACUACAUCCAAGGAAGGCAGCAGGCGCGCAAAUUACCCAAUCCCGAUUCGGGGAGGUAGUGACAAUAAAUACUGAUACAGGGCUCUUUCGGGUCUUGUAAUUGGAAUGAGUACAAUUUAAAUCCCUUAACGAGGAACAAUUGGAGGGCAAGUCUGGUGCCAGCAGCCGCGGUAAUUCCAGCUCCAAUAGCGUAUAUUAAAGUUGUUGUGGUUAAAAAGCUCGUAGUUGAACCUUGGGCCUGGCUGGCCGGUCCGCCUCACCGCGUGUCACUGGUCCGGCCGGGUCUUUCCCUCUGUGGAACCACAUGCCCUUCACUGGGCGUGGCGGGGAAACAGGACUUUUACUUUGAAAAAAUUAGAGUGCUCCAGGCAGGCCUAUGCUCGAAUACAUUAGCAUGGAAUAAUGAAAUAGGACGUGCGGUUCUAUUUUGUUGGUUUCUAGGACCGCCGUAAUGAUUAAUAGGGACAGUCGGGGGCAUCAGUAUUCAAUUGUCAGAGGUGAAAUUCUUGGAUUUAUUGAAGACUAACUACUGCGAAAGCAUUUGCCAAGGAUGUUUUCAUUAAUCAGGAACGAAAGUUAGGGGAUCGAAGACGAUCAGAUACCGUCGUAGUCUUAACCAUAAACUAUGCCGACUAGGGAUCGGACGAUGUUAUUUAGUUGACUCGUUCGGCACCUU